ACCACUUCUUGGAUGUUGUGGUGGAAAGUUUUUUCGGUGUGGGAUGAGCUCGCGGCCUAUCAGCUUGUUGGUGGGGUAAUGGCCUACCAAGGCGUCGACGGGUAGCCGGCCUGAGAGGGUGUACGGCCACAUUGGGACUGAGAUACGGCCCAGACUCCUACGGGAGGCAGCAGUGGGGAAUAUUGCACAAUGGGCGCAAGCCUGAUGCAGCGACGCCGCGUGGGGGAUGACGGCCUUCGGGUUGUAAACUCCUUUCGCUAGGGACGAAGCGUUUUUGUGACGGUACCUGGAGAAGAAGCACCGGCUAACUACGUGCCAGCAGCCGCGGUAAUACGUAGGGUGCAGCGUUGUCCGGAAUUACUGGGCGUAAAGAGCUCGUAGGUGGUUUGUCGCGUCGUUUGUGUAAGCCCGCAGCUUAACUGCGGGACUGCAGGCGAUACGGGCAUAACUUGAGUGCUGUAGGGGAGACUGGAAUUCCUGGUGUAGCGGUGGAAUGCGCAGAUAUCAGGAGGAACACCGAUGGCGAAGGCAGGUCUCUGGGCAGUAACUGACGCUGAGGAGCGAAAGCAUGGGGAGCGAACAGGAUUAGAUACCCUGGUAGUCCAUGCCGUAAACGGUGGGCGCUAGGUGUGAGUCCCUUCCACGGGGUUCGUGCCGUAGCUAACGCAUUAAGCGCCCCGCCUGGGGAGUACGGCCGCAAGGCUAAAACUCAAAGGAAUUGACGGGGGCCCGCACAAGCGGCGGAGCAUGUGGAUUAAUUCGAUGCAACGCGAAGAACCUUACCUGGGCUUGACAUACACCAGAUCGCCGUAGAGAUACGGUUUCCCUUUGUGGUUGGUGUACAGGUGGUGCAUGGUUGUCGUCAGCUCGUGUCGUGAGAUGUUGGGUUAAGUCCCGCAACGAGCGCAACCCUUGUCUUAUGUUGCCAGCACGUUAUGGUGGGGACUCGUGAGAGACUGCCGGGGUUAACUCGGAGGAAGGUGGGGAUGACGUCAAAUCAUCAUGCCCCUUAUGUCCAGGGCUUCACACAUGCUACAAUGGUCGGUACAACGCGCAUGCGAGCCUGUGAGGGUGAGCGAAUCGCUGUAAAGCCGGUCGUAGUU
rnacentral:rRNA from 1 species